rnacentral:tRNA from 1 species
GGGCGCAUAGCGCAGUGGUAGCGCGUCCGCUUUGCAAGCGGAAGGCCACCGGGUUCAAUCCCCGGUGUGUCCA